AAAUUUAUAACCAAAAUUUUAUACAAAACACAAAUCACUUCAUAUCUAUUCACAUCAAAAUUGAGAUCUCAAAAGAAGAUAGGAUCUCAAUCCAUCCAGGCCAUACUCAAGGCCCCUCUCGGGACUAUCUUCUUCUUCCAAAAAUCCUUCUCCUUGGAUCUCACUUCCGAGUUCUCCUUCAUAGACUUCUCCUCCUCAGCUCCUCAUCGGGGUCCUGAAAUGAUUUCCCCAAACCGGGAUGAGACUACGUCUCAGCGAGUUCUACCCCACUAAGCCCGAUUAGUAAACCAUUAUACUAUAGGCUACCUAAACACGCACAGGGCAGAGGACUUACGUUGACCUCAGAUCUCACCUGCAAGUCAGUACAAUUCAUAAUAGACACCCAUUUAUUCCAAACAAAUCGAACCAGUCGAUUAUAUGUCAUACAAUUCAUUUUCCACGAAGGAGUAUCUAAAAGCUAGGCCACGUGCGUUCUCUAGGAUGACAUUCCAAGUCUCCGAGUCCACGUGCCUCGAACCUUGGGCUCACGUGCAUUCUCUAAGGCGACCUCUUCGCCAAAGUGAUGCAUCAAGUCACCGAGCCCACGUGCCCUUUUAGAUGCCUGGGCCCACGUGCAUUCUCUUAGGUGCUAUCUCACCAAAGUGAUGCAUCAAGUCACCGAGCCCACGUGCCCUAUUAGAUGCCUGGGCCCACGUGCAUUCUCUUAGGUGCUUCUCACCAAAGUGAUGCAUCAAUUCACCGAGCCCACGUGCCCUUUUAGAUGCCAAACUCUGUCACCGAGCCACGUGCAUUCUCCAGGAUGACAUACCGAGUCUCCGAGCCACGUGCAUUCUCUCAGGUGACCUUUUCGCCAAAGUGACAUAUUCAACCACUGAAUUCAUGUGCAUUCUCCAGGUGAUAUUCCAAUUCACCGAGCCCACGUGUCCUCUUUCAAGUGAUUACCAAUCUACUUUCAAUACCGACAACCAAUGCCCAACGAUUUCUCAAUCAAGUAAUUAAAUCAACUCAACAAAGCAUUAUAAAUGCUGAAUAACAUACUUGGCCAUUUACCAAUCAACAAUUCAAUCUCAAUCAAUUCCAAUCAAUUUAGGGUAAAUCCCUAAAAUAUCACAAUUUAUUCAAUUCCAUACAAUGUGGAGCUCAAAUAAAUAAACAGACUGGGCCAUGACGAUUAGCACGAGAUUUCGGUCGUCGGCCAUCAAAAUCUUAAUUUCCGAAAAAUAAUUAAUUAAUUAAUUAAUUUCGAAAAUUAAAUAAUUAAUAUUAAAAAUUCGAUUUAGCUCAAAAUAAAGCCUGAUUAAAUAAACGGACUUCACCAUUGUCAUUAGCAUAACUUUCCGGUUCCGGACCAUCUCAUUUGAAUUUUCGGAAAAUAAAAAAUUAUUUAAUUUAAUUCCAAAAUUUAAUAUUUAAAUAUAAAAAAAUCCACUUAGGUCCGAAAAGCCUAAUUGGAGCCCACUAAGGGUCGGGAAAAAUCUCGAGGCACUUCCAAUAAUUAGUAGACCACGUCUACUUGCUAAUUGCGCAAUCAAUUUAUCUAAAUCGCAUCACAAUUGACUAAUAAUUGCUAAUUUAUUCUAAUCUAACAACCUAAACAUAAUUAAUUAAAACUAAACCAACCUUAAGCAUAAUUAGCCAACUAAUCCCGGAUUAAUGAGAUUACUCACCAAAUCGCGCGCAAAUCGGAUCAAUCCGACGGGGGCGACGUGAGGAGUGAUUCUUCCCAAAGCAUGGCUCGGGUUCGAGGCCCGGAAACGGCCCAAAAAGAGCCCGAAAGGGGCUGGAAACCCACUCGUGGGUUUCUGCCCUUGGCUGGCCAGAGCAGAUCCGGCGGCCAAAACAACGAGGGGAGGCCGGCGAAGAGCAAGGGGGACGCCGGGGAGGUCCGGCGGAGCUAGGCGGUGGCCGGAGGUGGUCGGACGGGGGCUAGACAGAGGUGAACAGGGCUGAGAAGAGCUGGAUCGCGCAGGGAAUGCGCUAUAGCGAGCGACAGACGCGGGGCCGCGAUGAGCGGCGGGUGCGUGGGCGGUCCGGCUCCGCUGCGGCGGCGGGACAGGCGGCCACGGUGGGCUGCAGCUUCUGGUCGACUUUCCUCUUCUGGUUCGCCUCUUCGAAUGCACGGGGAGGAAGAAGAAGAAAAAGAAAGAGAGAGAGAGAGAGAGAGAGAGAGAGAGAGAGAAGAUAAGAGUUGAC
rnacentral:lncRNA from 1 species